AACGAACGCUGGCGGCAUGCCUAACACAUGCAAGUCGAACGAGACCUUCGGGUCUAGUGGCGCACGGGUGCGUAACGCGUGGGAACCUGCCCUUAGGUUCGGAAUAACUCCCCGAAAGGGGUGCUAAUACCGGAUAAUGUCUUCGGACCAAAGAUUUAUCGCCUUUGGAUGGGCCCGCGUUGGAUUAGCUAGUUGGUAGGGUAAAAGCCUACCAAGGCGCCGAUCCAUAGCUGGUCUGAGAGGAUGAUCAGCCACACUGGGACUGAGACACGGCCCAGACUCCUACGGGAGGCAGCAGUGGGGAAUAUUGGACAAGGGGCGAAAGCCUGAGCCAGCAAUGCCGCGUGAGUGAUGAAGGCCUUAGGGUUGUAAAGCUCUUUUACCCGGGAUGAUAAUGACAGUACCGGGAGAAUAAGCGCCGGCUAACUCCGUG
rnacentral:rRNA from 1 species